AGAGUUUGAUCAUGGCUCAGAUUGAACGCUGGCGGCAGGCCUAACACAUGCAAGUCGAACGGUAACAGGAAGCAGCUUGCUGCUUUGCUGACGAGUGGCGGACGGGUGAGUAAUGUCUGGGAAACUGCCUGAUGGAGGGGGAUAACUACUGGAAACGGUAGCUAAUACCGCAUAACGUCGCAAGACCAAAGAGGGGGACCUUCGGGCCUCUUGCCAUCGGAUGUGCCCAGAUGGGAUUAGCUUGUUGGUGGGGUAACGGCUCACCAAGGCGACGAUCCCUAGCUGGUCUGAGAGGAUGACCAGCCACACUGGAACUGAGACACGGUCCAGACUCCUACGGGAGGCAGCAGUGGGGAAUAUUGCACAAUGGGCGCAAGCCUGAUGCAGCCAUGCCGCGUGUAUGAAGAAGGCCUUCGGGUUGUAAAGUACUUUCAGCGGGGAGGAAGGGAGUAAAGUUAAUACCUUUGCUCAUUGACGUUACCCGCAGAAGAAGCACCGGCUAACUCCGUGCCAGCAGCCGCGGUAAUACGGAGGGUGCAAGCGUUAAUCGGAAUUACUGGGCGUAAAGCGCACGCAGGCGGUUUGUUAAGUCAGAUGUGAAAUCCCCGGGCUCAACCUGGGAACUGCAUCUGAUACUGGCAAGCUUGAGUCUCGUAGAGGGGGGUAGAAUUCCAGGUGUAGCGGUGAAAUGCGUAGAGAUCUGGAGGAAUACCGGUGGCGAAGGCGGCCCCCUGGACGAAGACUGACGCUCAGGUGCGAAAGCGUGGGGAGCAAACAGGAUUAGAUACCCUGGUAGUCCACGCCGUAAACGAUGUCGACUUGGAGGUUGUGCCCUUGAGGCGUGGCUUCCGGAGCUAACGCGUUAAGUCGACCGCCUGGGGAGUACGGCCGCAAGGUUAAAACUCAAAUGAAUUGACGGGGGCCCGCACAAGCGGUGGAGCAUGUGGUUUAAUUCGAUGCAACGCGAAGAACCUUACCUGGUCUUGACAUCCACAGAACUUUCCAGAGAUGGAUUGGUGCCUUCGGGAACUGUGAGACAGGUGCUGCAUGGCUGUCGUCAGCUCGUGUUGUGAAAUGUUGGGUUAAGUCCCGCAACGAGCGCAACCCUUAUCCUUUGUUGCCAGCGGUCCGGCCGGGAACUCAAAGGAGACUGCCAGUGAUAAACUGGAGGAAGGUGGGGAUGACGUCAAGUCAUCAUGGCCCUUACGACCAGGGCUACACACGUGCUACAAUGGCGCAUACAAAGAGAAGCGACCUCGCGAGAGCAAGCGGACCUCAUAAAGUGCGUCGUAGUCCGGAUUGGAGUCUGCAACUCGACUCCAUGAAGUCGGAAUCGCUAGUAAUCGUGGAUCAGAAUGCCACGGUGAAUACGUUCCCGGGCCUUGUACACACCGCCCGUCACACCAUGGGAGUGGGUUGCAAAAGAAGUAGGUAGCUUAACCUUCGGGAGGGCGCUUACCACUUUGUGAUUCAUGACUGGGGUGAAGUCGUAACAAGGUAACCGUAGGGGAACCUGCGGUUG
rnacentral:rRNA from 1 species